rnacentral:misc_RNA from 1 species
GGUGAGUUCUUUGUUGUUGUUGUUUUGCUUUUGCUAUCUUCCAAGGGUAAGCACGAUCUGUCGGGUUCAAGCCUUCAAGGAGUUGGGCGCAUGGUAAUUAUCGAGCUGAAUGUGUUGAUCUGAUUGAAGUCGUUUGGUUUGUGGUUUGCAGGGCUUUAAGAAGUUUCUUCGGGGGGAAAUGGCUCGUACGAAGCAAACUGCU